UGGGGAAUCUUGCGCAAUGGGCGAAAGCCUGACGCAGCGACGCCGCGUGGGGGAUGAAGCAUUUCGGUGUGUAAACCCCUUUCGACUGGGACGAAUGCCUCGCAAGAGGAGUGACGGUACCAGUAGAAGAAGCCCCGGCUAACUACGUGCCAGCAGCCGCGGUAAGACGUAGGGGGCCAGCGUUGUUCGGAAUUACUGGGUGUAAAGGGUUCGUAGGCGGUGUGGCAAGUUGGGAGUGAAAUCUCUGGGCUUAACCCAGAGGCUGCUUCCAAAACUGCUGUGCUUGAGUGUGGGAGAGGCGCGUGGAAUUGCAGGUGUAGCGGUGAAAUGCGUAGAUAUCUGCAGGAACACCCGUGGCGAAGGCGGCGCGCUGGACCACAACUGACGCUGAGGAACGAAAGCUAGGGGAGCAAACAGGAUUAGAUACCCUGGUAGUCCUAGCCCUAAACGAUCAGGACUUGGGGUGCCACCCGUUCGGGUGUCGUCCCGGAGCUAACGCGUUAAGUCCUGCACCUGGGGAGUACGGUCGCAAGACUG
rnacentral:rRNA from 1 species